ensembl:ncRNA C32A9.3 ncRNA
UCACCCCUCCACUUCUUCCCGCAUAAGGUUAGUGCCGCUGCAUUUCAUUCUUAUGCAAAAUUGAUUAAUUAAAAAUGCUAACCAUUUUCAUUUACGUCAUGACCACAACCACAGCAUGACUCACAUUGUAACCUGUAUAGU